rnacentral:misc_RNA from 1 species
AAUUUUUUUUCUUCUUCGAAGACUUAUUGGUGUGAGGACAAAGGGCACAGAGAAGCAAGGAAAGGUAUCAAAGCUGGCUAAGGGAGAGAUUCUGAUGCUCAAUAUAGGGUCAAUGUCAACUGGUGCUCGAGUUAUUGCAGUAAAGAAUGAUCUUGCAAAGCUUCAGUUAACAUCUCCUGUGUGCACGAGCAAGGGAGAGAAGAUUGCACUCAGUCGAAGAGUUGAGAAGCAUUGGCGACUUGUUGGGUGGGGCAUGAUUCAAGCUGGAACAACGCUUGAUGUACCUCCAUGCCCACUUUGAGUGAUCAUAAGCAGGUGGGAAAAGAGCGUUAAAAAAAGAACAAAGCAUAACAGGAGGCUUUAAUUAAGACGCGGGAAGGUUUUAAAAAAAAAAAA